UACGUAGGGUGCUAGCGUUGUUCGGAUUUACUGGGCGUAAAGGGCGCGUAGGCGGCGUGGUAAGUCACUUGUGAAAUCUCUGAGCUUAACUCAGAACGGCCAAGUGAUACUGCUGUGCUAGAGUGCAGAAGGGGCAAUCGGAAUUCUUGGUGUAGCGGUGAAAUGCGUAGAUAUCAAGAGGAACACCUGAGGUGAAGACGGGUUGCUGGGCUGACACUGACGCUGAUGCGCGAAAGCCAGGGGAGCAAACGGG
rnacentral:rRNA from 1 species